rnacentral:rRNA from 1 species
UACAGAGGUCUCAAGCGUUGUCCGGAAUCAUUGGGCGUAAAGCGCGUGUAGGCGGCCCGAUAAGUCCGCUGUGAAAGUCCAGGGCUCAACCCUGGGAUGCCGGUGGAUACUGUCGGGCUCGAGUCCGGAAGAGGAGUGUGGAAUUCCUGGUGUAGCGGUGAAAUGCGCAGAUAUCAGGAGGAACACCAAUGGCGAAGGCAGCACUCUGGGACGUGACUGACGCUGAGACGCGAAAGCGUGGGGAGCAAACAGG